ACUGAUUUCAACAAUGAAGCGAGUGGCGAACUGGUGAGUAACACGUGGGGGAAUCUGCCCAGAAGCAGGGGAUAACACUUGGAAACAGGUGCUAAUACCGUAUAACAACAAAAUCCGCAUGGAUUUUGUUUGAAAGGUGGCUUCGGCUAUCACUUCUGGAUGGACCCGCGGCGUAUUAGCUAGUUGGUGAGGUAAAGGCUCACCAAGGCAGUGAUACGUAGCCGACCUGAGAGGGUAAUCGGCCACAUUGGGACUGAGACACGGCCCAAACUCC
rnacentral:rRNA from 1 species